rnacentral:rRNA from 1 species
UACAGAGGUCCCAAGCGUUGUUCGGAUUCACUGGGCGUAAAGGGCGCGUAGGCGGCCAUGCAAGUCGGUUGUGAAAUCCCUUGGCUCAACCAAGGAACUGCGUCCGAAACUGCAUGGCUCGAGUCCGGGAGAGGGUAGUGGAAUUCCCAGUGUAGCGGUGAAAUGCGUAGAUAUUGGGAGGAACACCGGUGGCGAAGGCGGCUACCUGGACCGGAACUGACGCUGAGGCGCGAAAGCUAGGGGAGCAAACAGG